GUCGAGCUACGGCUAUAAAUGUCAAUGUCUUAAAUUCACUGUGCCUCCUUUUAAGAAAUACUAGCCUUAUCACGGAAAAAGCUCACCAAUGGUAUAUUUUCUGAAAUGUGGCUAUUCUUUUUUGACCAGUUUCAGUUUAUAUAUUUGAACCUCCUCUGAUGCUGUUUAAUCCCUCUCCAUGGUAAGCAAAAACCUGUUUAGACACCUAGUGUGAAUUCACAUGACAACGUAGACAGCGAGGUUCGAGGUGACUGCACCUUCAGAUGUAGUUUAGAACAAACUCUUGGGCUUAUGAGCUAACAGGGCUCCAGAUGCAGCCAGCCUCCUGGAGGCCCCGCCUGAACUAGCUGUGAAAAGCCUUCCCUCACGGUUGUGGUUUUCAUUCAUUGUGUCCCAGGUUCAUGGGGCUCUUAGUUCAUGAUGCUGUCCAGCAAAGGCAUGUUGCCUGCCUGGUUGGCUCUGGUCUGUUCCAGGCACUUUGAGACCCAGAGGCAAAGAAGAGACAACACGGAUGAGAAAAUUGAUCUCUCUUUUAGAAGUUCAUGAUUUGAGAGAGUUCCCGGGCUUCCUAAGUGCCAGCUAACUUUUAUUUACAUCCAUUGUAAAACCCCCAAGAAACGUCCUCUCACUCUCACGAGGACCUGUUGUUAGUUACAUUCUGUUGUGUAGUUACAUUCAUUUUACAGGUGGCAGAACAGAGAAGUAGAGUUCCUUGUCCAAAGUCACUAGCUUGUCAUUGCCAUAGGGGUUCUGACUCCAGACCCUGUGUUCCUAACCGCUGUACUACACUGUCCCUCCUGCUCAGAUUGUGAGUUUUCAUCUGUUCCCAUUUGAGAAUUACCCGGAGUGUUAAGUAGUCCAUUAACGUGGGAGUAAAGAGAGAGAUUCCUGUAAGGUGACGCUUGUUUCAGACAAUAGGAGAUUCUGCCUGAACGGAGCAAGACCUUUCCUUCGUCUGCUUGUGCUUCAAGAUGGUGGCAUUCGUUCCUUCCUCUCGCUGCACGCCCAGGCCCUGCGCCAGCUCUGUGGCGGUAGGAGGACACCUGGCGUGUGGCCCCGCUGGAGCAAGGAAGAGGGCCGUGCUCACUAAGUGUCAGGACCAUCUGAUGCUCAUCUUGGACCGCCAUAAACACUCACGGAUUUACAGAUCUAUGAAAUACUGGGGGAAACCUGAUCUAAAUGCAAGUUUCUUCAUGGAAAUCAUUUCUUGCUGCCUCUGAAAGUCCAUGUGUGGUCACAGCUUCCUUCACACCAUCUCUGCUCUUCCUGAGAAUGGAUUAGGUUUCUUGAGGAAGAGAACUAGUCUUCCCUCCCCCUUCCUCUCAGAGCACCUGAGAGGACUCAGAGUCCAGUAGCUGUUCAAUAGAUUUAUGGAUCAGCCGGCUGGUUUUCAGGUUCUAACAAAUUAGGAAUGACCCAGCGUACAACAUGGCAAAUACACUAAACACCGCUGAAUUAGACACCUAAACAAGGAAUGGAGAAAAUGAACCACCGAAUCCCACUGAAAAUAGUCUGAUCUACCUACACCACCUUGGAUCACCCUGAGUUUCACUUUAGUGCUUUCCACAGGGGGCUGACUUCUAGUGAGUAGCUCUAGGAUGCAAGGUGCCUUCCACGCAUUCUUUUCUUUCUUUGUUUUUAUAACAGCUUUCCUGAGAUAAAAAUUCCUGUAUCCCAGAACUUGAAACCUGUAGAAUACACUUCUAAUGUGCACGGUUUGGUGGUUUUUAUUAGAUUCAGAAUUGCACACCUGCCACUAAUUUCAGAACAUUCUCAUUACCCCAGAGAGGCCCCUCCCCCAUCAGCAGCCCCUCCCAUUCUGCGUCCCUUCCCUGUCCUCCCCUUUGACAGCCACUCACUUCCUGUCUCUGGAUAUGUCUGUUCUGGACGUUUCAUAUAAAUGGAAUUACACAGUA